rnacentral:rRNA from 1 species
AGAGUUUGAUCCUGGCUCAGGACGAACGCUGGCGGCGCGCCUAACACAUGCAAGUCGAACGGAGUUGAGAGGAGCUUGCUUUUCUUGACUUAGUGGCGAACGGGUGAGUAACGCGUGAGUAACCUGCCCUUGAGUGGGGGACAACAGUUGGAAACGACUGCUAAUACCGCAUAAGCCCACGGUAUCGCAUGGUACUGAGGGAAAAGGAUUUAUUCGCUUAAGGAUGGACUCGCGUCCAAUUAGUUAGAUGGUGAGGUAACGGCCCACCAUGGCGACGAUUGGUAGCCGGACUGAGAGGUUGAACGGCCACAUUGGGACUGAGACACGGCCCAGACUCCUACGGGAGGCAGCAGUGGGGGAUAUUGCACAAUGGGGGAAACCCUGAUGCAGCGACGCCGCGUGAAGGAAGAAGGCCUUCGGGUUGUAAACUUCUGUCGUAAGGGACGAUAAUGACGGUACCUUACAAGAAAGCCACGGCUAACUACGUGCCAGCAGCCGCGGUAAAACGUAGGUGGCAAGCGUUGUCCGGAAUUACUGGGUGUAAAGGGAGCGCAGGCGGACUGACAAGUUGGAAGUGAAAUCUACGGGCUCAACUCGUAAAUUGCUUUCAAAACUGUCAGCCUUGAGUAGUGCAGAGGUAGGCGGAAUUCCCGGUGUAGCGGUGGAAUGCGUAGAUAUCGGGAGGAACACCAGUGGCGAAGGCGGCCUACUGGGCACCAACUGACGCUGAGGCUCGAAAGUGUGGGUAGCAAACAGGAUUAGAUACCCCUGGUAGUCCACACCGUAAACGAUGAUUACUAGGUGUUGGGGGAUUGACCCCCUCAGUGCCGCAGUUAACACAAUAAGUAAUCCACCUGGGGAGUACGACCGCAAGGUUGAAACUCAAAGGAAUUGACGGGGGCCCGCACAAGCAGUGGAGUAUGUGGUUUAAUUCGACGCAACGCGAAGAACCUUACCAGGUCUUGACAUCCAACGACCGCCAUAGAGAUAUGGCUUUCCUUCGGGACGUUGAGACAGGUGGUGCAUGGUUGUCGUCAGCUCGUGUCGUGAGAUGUUGGGUUAAGUCCCGCAACGAGCGCAACCCUUAUGCUUAGUUACUACGCAAGAGGACUCUAGGCAGACUGCCGUUGACAAAACGGAGGAAGGUGGGGAUGACGUCAAAUCAUCAUGCCCUUUAUGACCUGGGCUACACACGUACUACAAUGGCGUUAAACAAAGAGAAGCGAAGCCGCGAGGCGGAGCAAAACUCAAAAACAACGUCUCAGUUCAGAUUGCAGGCUGCAACUCGCCUGCAUGAAGUUGGAAUUGCUAGUAAUCGCGGAUCAGAAUGCCGCGGUGAAUACGUUCCCGGGCCUUGUACACACCGCCCGUCA